rnacentral:rRNA from 1 species
AGUGAACGCCGGCGGUAGGCCUAACACAUGCAAGUCGAACGGCAGCACAGUAAGAGCUUGCUCUUACGGGUGGCGAGUGGCGGACGGGUGAGGAAUACAUCGGAAUCUACUUUUUCGUGGGGGAUAACGUAGGGAAACUUACGCUAAUACCGCAUACGACCUACGGGUGAAAGCAGGGGAUCUUCGGACCUUGCGCGAUUGAAUGAGCCGAUGUCGGAUUAGCUAGUUGGCGGGGUAAAGGCCCACCAAGGCGACGAUCCGUAGCUGGUCUGAGAGGAUGAUCAGCCACACUGGAACUGAGACACGGUCCAGACUCCUACGGGAGGCAGCAGUGGGGAAUAUUGGACAAAGGGCGCAAGCCUGAUCCAGCCAUACCGCGUGGGUGAAGAAGGCCUUCGGGUUGUAAAGCCCUUUUGUUGGGAAAGAAAAACAGCAGGUUAAUACCCCGCUGUUCUGACGGUACCCAAAGAAUAAGCACCGGCUAACUUCGUG